UACGUAGGCAGCAAGCGUUGUUCGGAGUUACUGGGCGUAAAGGGUGUGUAGGCGGUUGUUUAAGUUUGGUGUGAAAUCUCCCGGCUCAACUGGGAGGGUGCGCCGAAUACUGAAUGACUUCGAGUGCGGGAGAGGAAAGUGGAAUUCCUGGUGUAGCGGUGAAAUGCGUAGAUAUCGAGAGGAACACCUGCGGCGAAGGCGGGUUGCUGGGCUGACACUGACGCUGAGGCGCGAAAGCUAGGGGAGCGAACGGG
rnacentral:rRNA from 1 species